AUUGAACGCUGGCGGCAGGCUUAACACAUGCAAGUCGAGCGAGCGGCGGACGGGUGAGUAAUGUCUGGGAACCUGCCUUCUGGAGGGGGAUAACUCCUGGAACCGGUAGCUAAUACCGCUUAACCUCAGCUGUUCCCUGAUGGGAUUAGCUAGUAGCUGGGGUAAUGGCUCACCUAGGACACGAUCCCUAGCUGGUCUGAGAGGGUGACCAGCCACACUGGAACUGAGACACGGUCCAGACUCCUACGGGAGGCAGCAGUGGGGAAUAUUGCACAAUGGGCGCAAGCCUGAUGCAGCCAUGCCGCGUGUGUGAAGAAGGCCUUCGGGUUGUAAAGCACUUUCAGCGAGGAGGCGUUACUCGCAGAAGAAGCACCGGCUAACUCCGUGCCAGCAGCCGCGGUAAUAC
rnacentral:rRNA from 1 species